UACGGAGGGUGCAAGCGUUAUCCGGAUUUACUGGGUUUAAAGGGUGCGUAGGCGGGCAGGUAAGUCAGUGGUGAAAUCUCCGAGCUUAACUCGGAAACUGCCGUUGAUACUAUUUGUCUUGAAUAUUGUGGAGGUAAGCGGAAUAUGUCAUGUAGCGGUGAAAUGCUUAGAUAUGACAUAGAACACCAAUUGCGAAGGCAGCUUACUACACAACGAUUGACGCUGAGGCACGGAAGCGUGGGGAUCAAACAGG
rnacentral:rRNA from 1 species